UGGGGAAUAUUGCACAAUGGGCGCAAGCCUGAUGCAGCCAUGCCGCGUGUAUGAAGAAGGCCUUCGGGUUGUAAAGUACUUUCAGCGGGGAGGAAGGCGAUAAGGUUAAUAACCUUGUCGAUUGACGUUACCCGCAGAAGAAGCACCGGCUAACUCCGUGCCAGCAGCCGCGGUAAUACGGAGGGUGCAAGCGUUAAUCGGAAUUACUGGGCGUAAAGCGCACGCAGGCGGUCUUUCAAGUCGGAUGUGAAAUCCCCGGGCUCAACCUGGGAACUGCAUUCGAAACUGGCAGGCUAGAGUCUUGUAGAGGGGGGUAGAAUUCCAGGUGGAGCGGUGAAAUGCGUAGAGAUCUGGAGGAAUACCGGUGGCGAAGGCGGCCCCCUGGACAAAGACUGACG
rnacentral:rRNA from 1 species